UUUAUUGGAGAGUUUGAUCCUGGCUCAGGAUGAACGCUGGCGGCGUGCCUAAUACAUGCAAGUCGAGCGAAUGGAUUAAGAGCUUGCUCUUAUGAAGUUAGCGGCGGACGGGUGAGUAACACGUGGGUAACCUGCCCAUAAGACUGGGAUAACUCCGGGAAACCGGGGCUAAUACCGGAUAACAUUUUGAACCGCAUGGUUCGAAAUUGAA
rnacentral:rRNA from 2 species